CAGUUCCAUCGAUAUGCAUCAGUCGAACUCGUUACAAAGUCGUCGCUGUCAUAAUACUUUCACGAAGAAAUGCAAAAUAGAGGGAGUUUCCGUGUAUAUUAUGCAUGGACGCCUACGAGCAGGUAUCUAUGAACGACUUUUAAUCGAAACUCGAGCAUCGAAUAUUAUUUUCUUCGCUGAAAAAACCAGCUGCCAAUUAUAUCGAAAUUUCGGUAGAGAGAACAAAAUAGCACGUUGGAAAAGAAACACGUUGCAUAACGUCAAAUUCAUGGAAAAAGAGAUGAAAGUAAGAGGCAAAAGGUAUUGCAUUAUACGAUCCAUCGAGUGGCGAGCAAUCAUUAAUCUCCGGAAACAAGUGCUCGUUCUGGGUGGAACAAUCGCUCGAUGCCUUUAACAAGCUGUAAAAUAGUGCGUCGAACGAGAAAAGAAAAGAAAGAGAGGAAGCUACGUCGAAAUUCAGUUGGACCACGUUUUAUUGCUCGGCCCGCCAACGAUGGGAUUCGGUAAGUAUGCCGUAGCCGCAAUCAGCGUCUUCAAUGAGUAAUCGCACAGCCCGGAGGCUCAUUCUCGUUGGAGGGGCGGAUUCGUCUCGAUCCUUCUGAAUGGAGCGAGGAAGAGAAACAAUUUUAAACAUCGAGCCGAUUGUAUAACGCAUUCGUGCAUCCUCCUGUUGAAUUGCAUUUCUACAUUCGUGCCAACGAAAUCGUAAAGGAAAUCAUAUGGAUUUAUAAAGAACGAAGUGUUACUUGAAUGUAAAAAUAAGGGGGAAAUGUAGAAUAUAUCUUGGUCAUUUCGAAAAUUGAUAA